UACAGAGGGGGCAAGCGUUAUUCGGAAUUAUUGGGCGUAAAGGGCGCGUAGGCGGCUUGGCAAGUGGAAGGUGAAAGCCCUCGGCUUAACUGAGGAAGUGCAUCCAAAACUGAGUAGCUAGAGUACGAAAGAGGGUCGCGGAAUUCCCGGUGUAGAGGUGAAAUUCGUAGAUAUCGGGAGGAACACCGGUGGCGAAGGCGGCGACCUGGGUCGAGACUGACGCUGAGGCGCGAAAGCGUGGGGAGCAAACAGG
rnacentral:rRNA from 1 species